rnacentral:lncRNA from 1 species
GGAGUCAGUUAUCGAGACUUACCGACGCGAUCUCCAGGAAUUUGGUUCGGGUUUGAAGAAGGAAAUUGAAGUCGCCCAUGGAUCGCUGGAGACGGUAGGGCAUGCUUUUGAUGAAUUCGGUAGCUCCGUUUUGAAAGGUACGGCUCAAAUUAUCGCUCAAGGUAAGAAUGCGAUCCAAGCUAUAGAUCAAGAAUCUGAUUCUGAUAGUAGUACUAACCAGAAUUUGAGUAAUCAAAGAAGCUCAAAUUCCAAGCCUUAUAGUAGGUUUGAUGCUCAGGUUCGUUCGCUUCAAGGCGAUACGGCCACUUACUGUGAUGAACCUGAAGAUUUGGGUGAUUAUGAGAAGUGGAGAUCACAAUUUGUUCUGAAUGAUAAGAGUGAAGAAAUUGAAAACUUGAUUGAAGAAAAUGGAGCUAUUGAUAAUAUACACAAGAAGGUUGUUCCUAAUGUUGUUGAUAAUGAAACUUUCUGGUUUAGGUAUUUUUAUAAAGUGCAUAAGCUUAAGCAAGCUGAGGAUGUUAGGGCUAAUCUUGUGAAGAGAGCUAUUGCUAGAGAAGAAGAGGAGGAUUUGAGUUGGGAUGUCGAUGAUGACGAUGACAAUGAAGGAUAUAAUGAGAUGAAUGCUGGGUCGAAAGGGGAUACAGUGAAGAAUGAUGUAAGUAAUGAAGAUCAGGGUAAGGCUACAAAAGGUGAAGAAGUGAAUGUCGAGCAUUCUACUGCUAAUGUUGAAGUGAAGGAUGAUUUACCAGCGAAGGAGGAAGUCGGUGGGAAAGAAUCUAUUGAAGUUGUGAAGGAAUUGAAUGGAGGAAGCUCUGUUGGUGACGAUGGAAAGAGG